AAUGAACGCUGGCGGCAUGCCUAACACAUGCAAGUCGAACGAACCCUUCGGGGUUAGUGGCGCACGGGUGCGUAACGCGUGGGAAUCUGCCCUUUGCUUCGGAAUAACAGUUAGAAAUGACUGCUAAUACCGGAUGAUGUCUUCGGACCAAAGAUUUAUCGGCAAAGGAUGAGCCCGCGUAGGAUUAGGUAGUUGGUGGGGUAAAGGCCUACCAAGCCGACGAUCCUUAGCUGGUCUGAGAGGAUGAUCAGCCACACUGGGACUGAGACACGGCCCAGACUCCUACGGGAGGCAGCAGUGGGGAAUAUGGGACAAUGGGCGAAAGCCUGAUCCAGCAAUGCCGCGUGAGUGAUGAAGGCCUUCGGGUCGUAAAGCUCUUUUACCAGGGAUGAUAGUGACAGUACCUGGAGAAUAAGCUCCGGCUAACUCCGUGCCAGCCGCCGCGGUAAAAC
rnacentral:rRNA from 1 species